GUCGAAAACUACGGGCGGCGACGGCUUCUCGGAAGUAAUUUAAGUGCACAAGACAUUGGUCAAAAUGGUUUCCAAAAGAAGACUGUCAAAAUCUGAGGAUAAAGAGAGCCUGACAGAAGAUGCCUCCAAAACCAGGAAGCAACCACUUUCCAAAAAGACAAAGAAAUCUCAUAUUGCUAAUGAAGUUGAAGAAAAUGACAGCAUCUUUGUAAAGCUUCUGAAGGUAUCAGGAAUUAUUCUUAAAACGGGAGAGAGUCAGAAUCAACUAGCUGUGGAUCAAAUAGCUUUCCAAAAGAAGCUCUUUCAGACCCUG
rnacentral:lncRNA from 1 species